rnacentral:misc_RNA from 1 species
AAGUCGUAACAAGGUUUCCGUAGGUGAACCUGCGGAAGAAUCAUUAACACGUAUCCAAACGUUAAAAUUCCCCCCGUGAACCUUCAUCCUGCUCUUGUAACCUGCGUAGUUCGCAUUCUCUGAUAACGGAAAGUUGUAGUGAUCCAGAGACCUCUGGCUACGUGCGAACUUUGGAACAGUUACAAUCGAGCGGUAGUUCUAUAGGCAAUGUUCCCCAACGAGUGUACGGUCUACAGGAAUCGUAGAAGCGCUAUCCUUGCACAAUCAAUGACACUUUCCGACACUGACUGCUUCGGGCAGGAGCUUUGCCAAAGGGUCCCCAUGCCCCCUAAUAACCCCCCAGUUAAAUGUGAAGCUCAAUGUAAUACAUUGGGUAAAAAAACCGAACAACUGUUAACAAUGGAUAUCUUGGUUCUC